UCUACGGGUGGCAGCAGUGGGGAAUAUUGGGCAAUGGGCGCAAGCCUGACCCAGCAACGCCGCGUGAAGGAAGAAGGCUUUCGGGUUGUAAACCUCUUUUGUCGGGGAGCAAAGCGAACCACGUGUGGUUCAUUGAGAGUACCCGAAGAAAAAGCAUCGGCUAACUCCGUGCCAGUAGCCGCGGUAAUACGGAGGAGGCGAGGGUAAUCCGGAUUUAUUGGGUUUAAAGGGUGCGCAGGCGGAGGUGCAAGUCAGCGGUCAAAUUGGGGGGCUCAACCCCGUACUGCCGUGUAAACGGCAUCCCUUGAGUGCGCGAGAAGUAUGCGGAAUGCGUGGUGUAGCGGUGAAAUGCAUAGAUAUCACGCAGAACUCCGAUUGCGAAGGCAGCAUACCGGCGCGCAACUGACGCUCAUGCACGAAAGCGUGGGUAUCGAACAGGAUUAGAUACCCGGGUAGUC
rnacentral:rRNA from 1 species